CCUUAUCAAAUAUACUUGCUCCUUCUUCAUUUGAGCAAUAACUUGAUUUUGGUAUGAUCAUUUCCAAUGAAACAUAUUCAAAGACUCCUCAAACACAUUAGUCCUUUACUUGUUUUGUAACCCGACCACCAAAAACUCAUUGGAGAGCCUAUAUGCACUUCACCAGCGGUAUAUUUUGAUCUUAACUGAAAGUGACCAGUGUGAGAGGCCAUUAGAAAUGGGUAGUUAUCACUGACAUCAGUUUGAGAACCACAAGUACAACACAGUACAACACAUAUCUUCAUUGGCAGCAGCUCUAUACUAAUCACCAGUGUAAGAGAAUUUAUACUUGUAUUCCAGCAGAAAGCCCAAUGGAGGACCUAGGAAAGAAACUAGAUAGGGCGAACCCUUGUCACUAAGUAAACCAAAAAAAACAAAAAGAAAGAACAUGUAUACCACAUUCACGUAUUAAUCACAAAUUAUUGCAAAAUAUAAUGGCCAAAAAACGGCG
rnacentral:lncRNA from 1 species